AUUCCAGCUCCAAUAGCGUAUACUAAAGUUGUUGCAGUUAAAAAGCUCGUAGUUGAAUUUCUGGAUGUGAAAGGUGGUCGGCACCUCACGGUGUCUGUACUUAUCAUUCGCGUCCAUCCUCGGGAGGAACAUGUGGACACUUAAGUGGGUCUGCUUGGGAAUCUCGUCAUUUACUGUGAGCAAAAUAGAGUGUUCAAAGCAGGCUUAUGCCGCUGAAUAUAUUAGCAUGGAAUAAUAAGAUACGACUUUGGUCUAUUUUGUUGGUUUACAUUCCAAAGUAAUGAUUAAUAGGGAUAGUUGGGGGUAUUCGUAUUCAAUUGUCAGAGGUGAAAUUCUUGGAUUUAUGGAAGACGAACUACUGCGAAAGCAUUUACCAAGGAUGUUUUCAUCG
rnacentral:rRNA from 1 species